rnacentral:rRNA from 1 species
UACGGGGGGAGCAAGCGUUGUUCGGAUUUACUGGGCGUAAAGGGCGCGUAGGCGGCCACCGCAAGUCGACUGUGAAGUCUCCGGGCUUAACCCGGAAAGGUCAGCCGAUACUGCGGGGCUAGAGUGCAGAAGGGGCAACUGGAAUUCUCGGUGUAGCGGUGAAGUGCGUAGAUAUCGAGAGGAACACCUGCGGCGAAGGCGGGUUGCUGGGCUGACACUGACGCUGAUGCGCGAAAGCUAGGGGAGCGAACGGG